GGAUGUGAGGGCGAUCUGGCUGCGACAUCUGUCACCCCAUUGAUCGCCAGGGUUGAUUCGGCUGAUCUGGCUGGCUAGGCGAGUGUCCCCUUCCUCCCUCACCGCUCCAUGUGAGUCCCUCCCAAAGCUGCACGCUCGGUCGAAGAGGACUACCAUCCCUGAUAGAGGAGGACCGUUCUUCGGUCAAAGGUAUACCAGUAGCUGCGCUCCCCUGCUAGAACCUCCAACCAAGCUCUCAAAAGCAGCUCCACAGUGAACAUGGGGGGAAUACUCAUUAUAAAGUUAGUUUUACAGUCCCCCCUUCAAGAAGAAGAAUAUAG
rnacentral:snRNA from 1 species